rnacentral:rRNA from 1 species
AUUGAACGCUGGCGGCAGGCCUAACACAUGCAAGUCGAGCGAGCGGCGGACGGGUGAGUCAUGUCUGGGCAACUGCCUGAUGGAGGGGGAUAACUACUGGAACCGGUAGCUAAUCCCGCAUACCAUCAGUUGUGCCCAGAUGGGAUUAGCUAGUAGGCGGGGUAAUGGCUCACCUACGAGACGAUCCCCAGCUGGUCUGAGAGGAUGUCCAGACAUGGUGGAGCUGAGACAGGGUCCAGACUCAUGGGGGAGGCAGGAGUGGAGGAGAUUGCACAGUGGGAGAAAGCGUGAUGCAGCCAUGCCGCGUGUAUGGAGGAGGCCUUCGGGUUGUAAAGUACUUUCAGCGGAGAGGCGUUACCCGCAGGAGAAGCACCGGCUAACUCCGUGCCAGCAGCCGCGGUAAUU